rnacentral:rRNA from 1 species
UAAUGCCGGAUGCUCCGACUCCUCGCAUGGGGUGUCGGGAAAGAUUUCAUCGGUAUGGGAUGGGGUCGCGUCCUAUCAGGUAGUCGGCGGGGUAACGGCCCACCGAGCCUACGACGGGUAGCCGGCCUGAGAGGGCGACCGGCCACAUUGGGACUGAGAUACGGCCCAGACUCCUACGGGAGGCAGCAGUGGGGAAUAUUGCACAAUGGGCGCAAGCCUGAUGCAGCGACGCCGCGUGCGGGAUGACGGCCUUCGGGUUGUAAACCGCUUUUGAUCGGGAGCAAGCCUUCGGGUGAGUGUACCUUUCGAAUAAGCACCGGCUAACUACGUGCCAGCAGCCGCGGUAAUACGUAGGGUGCAAGCGUUAUCCGGAAUUAUUGGGCGUAAAGGGCUCGUAGGCGGUUCGUCGCGUCCGGUGUGAAAGUCCAUCGCUUAACGGUGGAUCUGCGCCGGGUACGGGCGGGCUGGAGUGCGGUAGGGGAGACUGGAAUUCCCGGUGUAACGGUGGAAUGUGUAGAUAUCGGGAA